GUGCUUGCUUCGGCGGCACACAUACUACAGUUGGAACAAUACAGAGAUUAGCAUGGCCCUGUGCAAGGAUGACAUGCAAAUUCGUGAAGCAUUCCAUAUAUAU
rnacentral:snRNA from 1 species